CCUCAUCUUCCGUAAGCUUAACCAGAGAGGAUGUGGUCUUUGGUUUAACAGGCUGUGAUGGUCCUUGCGAUGACAUCGGUAACAGUGGAGUGUAAUCAUCAUGACCUGUGGGAUCAUUGUGGUCCAUGGGAUCAUCUUCCAUAUCAGCACCGCUGGCCUCGUCUUCAUCCUGCUGUUCAUCAACAGGGGUCUUUCUCAAACCUGGUGGGGUAACAUACCAGUUAAGAUUUGGGUAUCAAAUCAAAAUCAAAUCAAAUUUAUUUAUAUAGCCCUUCGUACAUCAGCUGAUAUCUCAAAGUGCUGUACAGAAACUCAGCCUAAAAACCCAAACAGCAAGCAAUGCAGGUGUAGAAGCACGGUGGCUAGGAAAAACUCCCUAGAAAGGCCAAAACCUAGAAACCUAGAGAGGAACCAGGCUAUGUGGGGUGGCCAGUCCUCUUCUGGCUGUGCCAGGUGGAGAUUAUAACAGAACAUGGCCAAGAUGUUCAAAUGUUCAUAAAUGACCAGCAUGGUUGAAUAAUAAUAAGGCAGAACAGUUGAAACUGGAGCAGCAGCACAGUCAGGUGGACUGGGGACAGCAAGGAGUCAUCAUGUCAGGUAGUCCUGGGGCACGGUCCUAGGGCUCAGGUCCUCCGAGAGAGAAAGAAAGAGAGAAUUAGAGAGAGCAUAUGUGGGGUGGCCAGUCCUCUUCUGGCUGUGCCAGGUGGAGAUUAUAACAGAACAUGGCCAAGAUGUUCAAAUGUUCAUAAAUGACCAGCAUGGUCGAAUAAUAGUAAGGCAGAAGGCGCAUUAAUAUACAAUGUGAAUCACAGUACCUUUAGUACCCUAGCUACGAAGGCCCAUAUUCCAUAAUAUCUAACUUACUAGAAAAAAAGAGUUGCCAUAACAUUGACUGCAUAGUGUUACAGCUAAUGAUGAUCUGUACUUAAAGGGAUUUACAUUGGAUCCCACAUUUAUUGGGGACAACUGACUCCUUCAUUCACCCCCAAUGUGUAGUGUUUACCUGGGUGAUCGCUUGCUCUCAUUUACACAAGCCAUAUUGGAGUCAAAAGGGCUAGUUGAUAGUUAACCCUAACCCAAGAUUGAGUGUGGGCCAAGCAACCACCCAUACAGGGUUAUAGGUAGCUAGCUAUCUUCUAGCUCGGGUCCAGGGCAGAGCUAACCUCUAGAUCAGUGGUCACCAACCUUUUCUGAGUCAAGAUCACGGAGUCAAAAUGCCAGCCGAGCUCUUCCGCUCAGAUAAAAAAAAAAAAAACAUGACUAAGCCCAUGUACGCAACAUUAACCAAUUAAAAACAGUUCAGUAGCAAUGAGGUUUGUGCAGUAGGCUACAGGCCCAAUACAUUACUGCAUAUUGUCUACGCUUGAAUUGCCCUGCCAAUGUUGUUCUUCUCAGACCAUUUUGAAAUUAUAUUUUAGUAUCGCCAAGAGCAGGUUAGUUGAAAAAUCUAUGGCACCUUUUUUAUGAGUUUAAAUUUUCCAGAUUGACUGACUUGCGUGUCUUAAAGUAAAGAUGGACUGUCGUUUCUCAUUACUUAUUUGAGCUGUUCUUACCAUAAUAUGGACUUUGUGUUUUAUCAAAUAGGGCUAUCUUCUGUAUACCACCCCUACCUUGUCACAACAGACCUGAUUGGCUCAAACACAUUUAAGAAGUAAAGAAAUUCCACAAAUUAACAUUAAACAAAGCACACCUGUUAAAUUAAAUGCAUUCCAGGUGACUACUCCAUGAAGCUGGUUGAGUGAUCAAAGCUGUCAUCAAGGCAAAGGGUGGCUACUUUGAAGAACCUCAAAUAUAAAAUUAAUUUUGAAAUGUUUAACACUUUUUUGGUUACUACGUGAUUCCAUUUGUGUUAUUUCCUAGUUUUGAUGUCUUCAAUAUUAUUCUACAAUGCAGAAAAUAAAGAAAUACCCUUGAAUGAGUAGGUGUGUCCAAACUUGACUGGUACAGUACAUAUUACCAAGACUAACCUGUACCACAGCACAUUGACCCGGUACCCCUGGUAUAUUGCCUCCCCCCCUUACUUAAAAAAACAGCAUUGUUGGUCAAGGGCUUGUAAUGUUAAGUAAGCAUUUCGCGGUAAGGUCUACACGUUGUAUUCGGCGCAUGUGACAAAUAAUUUGAUUUGUGAUCUCACCUUCCAUUUGUAUACGAUCAGGAGAACGGCAAGGGUUGAAUGCUUGCACAGUCUCCUUCUCCAUCGUCAGGGGCUUCCUGUUCGGUUCAUGGCUACACUCCAUUUCCACACGAAGGGCAGCGUAGCUUUCUUCCAUUAUGUGACACACUGCUCGCACAGCUGCUGCUGUUAAAGUUUCCAUAACGGACACUACACGCGCACGAAAAACGAUUUCGUUGAACAUCUUUUUUUAUUAUUUGACUACAAGCACAAGCCAGCUAGCCUCUUCUCUGCAUUGCUUCUACACCGGCAUUGCUGUUUGGGGUUUUAGGCUGGGUUUCUAUGCAGCACUUUGAGAUAUCAGCUGAUGUAAGAAGGGCUUUAUAAAUACAUUUGAUUUGAUUCUCCUUCUUCGGGAUUGGCCUAUCGCAUACAAUUUAAAUGUACAUACACCGCUGCUGUACUAAAGUGAGGCCAGUCAUUUCCUACCUACAUUAAAUUCUCAUUAUUCCUGUUCCUAAAAUAAAUAAAUCCACCAACUAACCCUACACCUACAGUAUAUACCCCUAUUUCAUUCAAAUCACCCCCGCCCCCAACAUAAUUACUUAUUCUGCAGUAAAAUCUCGUACUCCAAGGUCUUUCUCUGCAGCUGCUACCUACACUCAUUAAAAACCCACUAACGUUACCAUGCCACUACAUGAUCCUAUCGGGUAGUACAGUACACCAUGCAAACGGCCUGGGGGGACGAGACACCACCCCCCAAUAUACCCUUUAACUCUUGUCAAAUACCGUACUUCUAUGCAGCUGUCACCACUUUAUUUUUCUGUGAUUGCUAUGAAGCCAACCUUACUUGGCAGGCUAGCUAGCAAUACCCUUUUCCGGGGUUAAAC
ensembl:lncRNA